GAGAGGAGAGGAGAGACGAGCUGCAGCCUGCUGCUGAGUGCUGAGCGAGCGAGCGAGUGAGCUGACUGCUGUGCUGACUGACUGAGCCAGAGGGAGAGGGAGGAUUGGAGCUGCCUUGGAGGAAGUGUACAGUACAGAUCAGAAGAUUUGUGACUGAGCUGGCAAAAUUACAUUUUGAAUAUACCCUUGAGCUGCACAGCACAGAGGAAGAAUUUUGUCAGAAAAGCAAGCGGAGGAGAAGAGGACGCUAGUAGUGACCUCAGCACAGAAAGAAGAAGCUUGACCACGUUGGCACAUCGUUUUACUGUUUGAAAGUUUGACAGUUAUCAAAGUUUGUUGAAUUGGGAAAAUCUGAAGCUGUAUAGUUGAUUCAAGUUCUGGAUGAAAAAUGUCCCCUGGUUUAUACAUGGAAAAUCACCGGUAAAUACUGUUUAUUUUUCUGAUCCCCGCCAUGCUACCAUACUUCUUUUGACUUGGACUUUCAGAGGCAGACACG